AACGCACAUUGCGCCCUCUGGUAUUCCGGAGGGCAUGCCUGUUCGAGCGUCAUUUCACCACUCAAGCCUAGCUUGGUAUUGGGCGUCGCGGCUUCGCGCGCCUUAAAGUCUCCGGCUCGGCCAUUCGUCUCGAAGCGUUGUGGAUGUUCUCAUUCGCUUCGGAGUGCGGGUGGCCGCGGCCGUUAAAUCUCGACUCAAGGUUGACCUCGGAUCAGGUAGGGAUACCCGCUGAACUUAA
rnacentral:misc_RNA from 1 species